AUUCACAUCUUGGCAGACAAAUGCAAUAGACUUAGAAUCUACCUAUCAAAUA
rnacentral:tRNA from 1 species